AACGUAGGAGACAAACGUUAUCCGGAGUUACUGGGCGUAAAGGGCGUGUAGGCGGUUUGUUAAGUCAGGGGUGAAAUCCUGGAGCUCAACUCCAGAACUGCCUUUGAUACUGGCGACCUUGAGUCCGGGAGAGGUGAGUGGAACUGCGAGUGUAGAGGUGAAAUUCGUAGAUAUUCGCAAGAACACCAGUGGCGAAGGCGGCUCACUGGCCCGGUACUGACGCUGAGGUGCGAAAGCGUGGGGAGCAAACAGG
rnacentral:rRNA from 1 species